rnacentral:rRNA from 1 species
UACGUAGGGUGCAAGCGUUGUCCGGAAUUAUUGGGCGUAAAGAGCUCGUAGGCGGUUUGUUGCGUCGGCUGUGAAAUCCCGAGGCUCAACCUCGGGUCUGCAGUCGAUACGAGCAAACUAGAGUGUUGCAGGGGAGACUGGAAUUCCUGGUGUAGCGGUGAAAUGCGCAGAUAUCAGGAGGAACACCCGGUGGCGAAGGC